UACGAAGGGGGCUAGCGUUGCUCGGAAUCACUGGGCGUAAAGGGUGCGUAGGCGGGUCUUUAAGUCAGGGGUGAAAUCCUGGAGCUCAACUCCAGAACUGCCUUUGAUACUGAAGAUCUUGAGUUCGGGAGAGGUGAGUGGAACUGCGAGUGUAGAGGUGAAAUUCGUAGAUAUUCGCAAGAACACCAGUGGCGAAGGCGGCUCACUGGCCCGAUACUGACGCUGAAACACGAAAGCGUGGGUAGCGAAUGGG
rnacentral:rRNA from 1 species